AAAGGUAGACAGGCUUUUAAUGGCAUGAUCAAGAAUCCCCUGGAAAUAACAAAUCUAAUGACAGCUGUGUCUGAUAUGAACAAGAAAUGGCGUCAUCGUUUAUUUCUUUUCAAGACGUGAUCCGAAGUGAUGACAGAUGCCAGUGGGUCUGUCCACAGACGGGGCCUCUGUGAUGCAUGCCAGAUUUGAUGGCCAAGAACUUGCCAUGCAGUUGAACCGGAUUGUGGUUCCUCGAUCGGAGUUGUACAUUCUGUCUGCAGUGUGUAAACAUUCUCCAGCUGCUUUCCUAAAGAAUGCAAAGAGGAUAUGUAGAGAGGUUUAGCCUUGGGACCUGGUCGCACUUCCAGGCAGGCGGUACCAAGGAGCAGAAGUCCUGUCUCCAGGCCAAAAGAUUUUGUCAGACUGUGCCAGAGGCGAAGAAAAACAACAUCGGUGCGCCAGGUACAAUGUCUGAGUGUAGAGUCACAUGCUAAAAGGAGAUAUACAAAAUUAUCUGCAUUUCCAGCUCCAAUUCCUGUCCGGAGCAGCAGCAGCCCAGGUCCCUUGGCGCAGCAGUGUUGCUGACUCUGUGUUCACACACACUGUUGGACCUGGACUUCACCUAAAGCUCCGCAUCCCGCAGAGCCCAUCACACCCAUCACCUGCAAGUGAUGGGCUGAGCCUCUGCCUGGUGCCCCAGCAGAAAACACCAGCCCCUGCCUCCUCCAGAGGCCCUGUGCCAGACCCCCCUGGGCUCAGGGCAGAGCAGAGCAGCUCCUGGCCAGCCCCAUGCUGAUACCACCCCAGCAGUACCCUCGCCAAAGAGAGAUCUCACCCCUGCAGCCCUCUGCUUUGGGAGCUAAGAGGAGGAGUUCUCACCUUGGUCCCUACCAGGAACCCACCUCUGGAUCUGCUGUGGUGGCUCCCUUUCAGCACAGAGGGCAUCAAUGCAUGCUUUAAACCUGCUGUCCAGACAUUUGCAGCUCCAGAAAUAAAAUGAAACGUUUCAGUCAAGCUAGAAAAAACUCAUUUGAUACCAAACUUAUUGUGUCCACAUGGGACUUUUAGUGUGUUCUCAAGAUUAAACUGCAGUUGAUUGAUGUGCUGGAAAAGGCCUUUGGUGGGCAUCAGUGCACAUGGAAUACUGGUGGGGUCAUGCCACGGGUCAGCACAGAGAAGAAAGAAGUGUGCUAAGGGACCAUUGAGCUGCUACUGGAGCUGGUCAGGCUAUCAACAGAUCCUUAGCCAUCUUACAGAGGACCUAUCCUGAGAAAAUACCUCUGUGUUGGAAAGGAGAAACUUCAAAGCUUUUCUUGCCCCAAUACAACUUGCUUUGGAUUGCAGAGUUUCAACUAGCAAGAAAACCAUGCUUGUGUUAACUGAGGGCAGCCACCAGACCCUGGUCCAUGGCACACAGAGAUGUGUGGCAGCCCAGCACUUACC
rnacentral:lncRNA from 1 species